rnacentral:lncRNA from 1 species
AGAAGAUGCACGGGGCAUAAACUGCGUUUUUUUCUUUUAUCGCAGCUCAGCUUUCCGCCGAUAUGCCGCCCUCCCCCCCCCCACCCCGUAUAAAUUUGCCAGCAUAAAUAGUUAUCGAAAAAGAACAGGGUAAAAGCUUCAGGGGAUCAAUAUUCAAUGGGAUCUGGCUGCAGCAGCACAGUGACUUUUCAUCCUGUUUUCAUCAUGUUUCUUUUCAACUCCGGAAGCCACUAGUGGUACACGCACCCACACACAGAGUACUUUGAAAUCUAGGUGUGGGACACAGGUGUUUGGUUUAGAGAAAGCUGCUCCCACCUCACUCCCAAGCUCAUCUUCGUUUCCCUCGUCGUUAAAAAAAAAAGAGAGAGAGAGGGAGAGAAAGUUCUGCAUCGACUUUUGCACUCGCUCCUCUAAUUCGUCAGAGCUCGGCCUCCACCGCGGAGAAGGGAGAUUUGACACCUGCGUUUGGGAUGAAUAUUAAAAGCCCGGCACAUGCAGCUGACCGGAAAAGUGCAGCAGAAUGUGGUGGCAGAUGUGGACCAGCAGAGGAUGCACGUGAAGGAAGCAGAAAAUCCCCUGAAGCUAGAAGCCCCGUCCUCAGCCAGCUGUCCAAGCACGAGGCGGCUUAUCGCCGUCGGUACAGUGACACGCUCUCGUCCCCUGCAGGCCCAGCAGAGUCAACAUAUGGACUUGGCGCUCAAUCACCCGAAGCCCAUUCAGCCACUCGACGUCAAUUAAUUACGUCUGCGUUAGAUGUGGCUCUCAUCGAGCAAAUAACAAUUUUACAAUCUAGUUUACUAUAAUCAUUAUUAAUAACCAGGUUUUGUCAUAAUCUAUGUAUUAAUCAUUUAAGUUAUGUAUUCGUUAAUUGUUAUUUAGAAUUGGUGAAAUUAAGUAGUUAUUAUAGGUUUACAAAUCCAGAGGAAAUAAAUAUUAUAUUUCAGUGGAGG